AUUGAACGCUGGCGGCAGGCUUAACACAUGCAAGUCGAACGAGUGGCGGACGGGUGAGUAAUGUCCGGGAAACUGCCUGAUGGAGGGGGAUAACUACUGGAAACGGUAGCUAAUACCGCAUACCAUCAGAUGUGCCCAGAUGGGAUUAGCUAGUAGGUGAGGUAACGGCUCACCUAGGCGACGAUCCCUAGCUGGUCUGAGAGGAUGACCAGCCACACGGGAACGUAGACACGGUCCCGGAGCCUACGGGAGGCAGCAGUGGGGAAUAUUGGACGAGGGGCGCAAGCCUGAUACAGCCAUGCCGCGUGAAUGAAGAAGGCCUUCGGGUUGUAAAGGUCUUUCAGCGGGGAGGCGUUACCCGCAGAAGAAGCACCGGCUAACUCCGUGCCAGCAGCCGCGGUAAUUC
rnacentral:rRNA from 1 species